AACGAACGCUGGCGGCAGGCCUAACACAUGCAAGUCGAGCGCCCUUUCGGGGGAGCGGCGGACGGGUGAGUAACGCGUGGGAAGAUGCCCUUCUCUACGUAAUAGCCCCGGGAAACUGAGAUUAAUACCGGAUACGCCCUUUGGGGGAAAGAUUUAUCGGGGAAGGAUUAGCCCGCGUUGGAUUAGGUAGUUGGUGGGGUAAUGGCCUACCAAGCCGACGAUCCAUAGCUGGUUUGAGAGGAUGAUCAGCCACACUGGGACUGAGACACGGCCCAGACUCCUACGGGAGGCAGCAGUGGGGAAUCUUAGACAAUGGGUGCAAGCCUGAUCUAGCCAGGCCGCGUGAGUGAUGAAGGCCUUAGGGUUGUAAAGCUCUUUCAGCUGGGAAGAUAAUGACGGUACCAUAAGAAGAAGCCCCGGCUAACUCCGUG
rnacentral:rRNA from 1 species